CACACUGCUUAGGGGUUUUGAGUCAGCUUAUGGGGAGGGGAAGGUUUGAGAAAUGGCCUCUGGGGCCACAGUGAGGGAAAGGCUCACCUUAGCUAACAAUGCUGAGGUGGGCAGGGCAGAGCAGUCCCAGGGUGGGUUGUCACUUGUCUCUUGUGCUUUCUGUAUCUUCUGUGCAUCUUCUGUAAUGUUUCUCUUGCCUUAGCCCUUCCAGGAGCUUAUAAGAAACCCCAGGUCCUUCCGUUCAUCUCCCAUCUUCGUGUUCCUCGGCCCGACGCCGGCAAAGCUUCGAUUCGGGAGCUCGGACUCGCAUCAGAAUCACAUCUGUCUUUAGAAGCAUGUGAUCAUAUGUUUCUUUAGGUCUCAUUCUCAGCUGUGUUGACAGCUAUGUGCAGCAAUGUUUCUUUAGAGUGGAUAAGGACUUGUGCCGAUUCAAAGGCAGGCAGAAGCUUCCAGCCACAGGAUUCUCAGGCAUCCAUCUCUGCGGUUCUUGGAAAAAGUUGUUCCUUUAGCAUCUUUUUCCUCCAGGGUCAUCCGAGCCCGGCAGGCUCGCCUUCGGUCCCUCCUCGGUCAUCUCGUUCAGCAUUCUCUCGGUCCUCGUGAGGACUUUCUUGUCUCAGAGUUUUCUCUCCCUGUCACGUCCCCUCGUGUCACGUGUCACGGGUGUCUGGGGGUAUUCGGUCCGGAGCUGCUCUGCCCUGCCGCCCAGCCCGGUUGUAGGUGUUUAAGGACAAGUCCCGGGGACUUGUAAUCGGAGACUUGUAGUACGGGCUGUAGUUGGAGUCUAGGUGGUAUUCUUAUGUUGGCAGAAGGUGUUUGGAGCUGUGAAGUUACCCUGCAGCACUUUGACUUUUUUCCUAACUUUCUUUCAGAUGCAGACGGUUUGACCUCGUGGCAGAGCAGCUAUCCCAGAUGAUGGGGGUCCCCCUGAGAAGGAAGUAAAGCCAGAAAGCAGCAGGGAGGGCGAAGCAGGUGGAAGGCUGCCUCCUGAUGCUGUGCUGAGGCCCCCUCACUGGUCUCCCUAGAGACCCGGUUUGCUUCUCUGGUGAGCCCCAGCAAAUAUUACCGGAGUCCGUGACGAAGCCUCGACCUCGUCCACGUGUCGGUGCGCUCCCGGUACCCUUUAGGCGAACCCUGCGAUGACGGCGUCCGCCUCGGAGCAUGGCUGAAGCGUGAGGCCCGAGGACCUGGGAGUUCCUAAGAGACGGUGAUGAUAUUUGUCUGAGACAACAGCCUGGUGAGAGAAGAACUUCCCAGACGGUGAGGUGGCUUUGUUUGGCUCCCGACCGGCCUCUCGCUGUGACUGACAUCUUCAGCCCUCUGAGAGAUAAGUGGAGCCCACAGAGGGGAUCAAAGCAGGGCGGCGGUCGGGACUGAGAUCAGUUUGGGUUUUUGAGUGAGCUUUGGGGAUGGGGAGGUUCUGGAAAUGACCCCAUAGGCCCCAGCGAGGGAAAGCCUCACUUUGGUUUGCAAUGCUGAGGCAGGCAGGGCAGAGCAGUCCCAGGGUGUGUUGUCACUUGUCUCUCGUGCCUUCUGUGUCUUCUGUGCAUCUUGUGUAAUGUGUCUCUUGCCUUAGUCCUCCCAGGGGCUUAUGAGAAACCCCGGGGUCUUUCCGUUCAUCUCCCAUCUUUGCGUUCCUCGGCCCGACGCCGGCGAAGCUUCGAUUCGGGAGGUCGGACACGUGUCAGAAUCGCAUUUGUCUUCAGAAGCACGUGAUCUUUUUAGGUCUCGUUCUCAGCUGUGUCAACAGCUAUAUGCAGCAGUGUUUCUUUACAGUGGAUAAGGACUUGUGCCGAUUCAAAGGCAGGCAGAGGCUUCCAGCCACAGGAUUCUCAGGCAUCCGUCUCUGCGGUUCUUGGAAAAAGUUGUUCCGUUAGCAUCUUUUUCCUCCGGGGUCAUCCGAGCCCGGCAGGCUCGCCUCGGGUCCCUCCUCGGUCAUCUCGUUCAGCAUUCUCUCGGUCCUCGUGAGGACUUUCUUGUCUCAGAGUUUUCUCUCCCUGUCACGUCCCCUCGUGUCACGGGUGUCUGGGGAUAUUCGGUCCGGAGCUGCUCUGCCCUGCCGCCCAGCCCGGUUGUAGGUGUUUAAGGACAAGUCCCGGGGACUUGUAAUCGGAGACUUGUAGUACGGGCUGUAGUUGGAGUCUAGGUGGUAUUCUUAUGUUGGCAGAAGGUGUUUGGAGCUGUGAAGUUACCCUGCAGCACUUUGACUUUUUUCCUAACUUUCUUUCAGAUGCAGAUGGAUUGACCUCCUGGCAGAACACCUGUCCCAGAUGAGGGGGUCCCCCUGAGAAGGAAGUAAAGCCAGAUAGCAGCGGGGAAGGCGAAGCAGGUGGA